GGCACCGGGGGCAGAAGGCGGGGCUGAGGGAGAGACCCUGCUUCAUACAGUGCCGGAGCUGGGCCCAUGGUGCCUGGGCACCAGGUGCCCAGGCACCACGGGCCCAUAGAACUUGCCGCCCAUGGGAGCAGCACACACAGAUUCCCCCUGUCCCGUAACCCCAGCUUAAUGGAAAUUGGGUACAUGAGAGGGGGACACCCCAACAUCAGCCUCCCCACACCCCGCACAGCAGAGAGGAGGACGCUCCCAGUCUGAGUGGCCGGGGGCUCCGGGGACGAAGGAGGCGGGGGACAGGAGCAGUGGUGGCUGCACAGGGCAGUGGAGCGGGGGGGGGCACCCCUGCUCCUGAGAAGUCACCUGGCUCGAUUGGUCGUCCAACUGCCCCUUGCAGCUCAGGUCACUUCUCCCCACUCACCCACAAGUCCAGCCCUGGUCUCGUUCUCCUCCCUUCCCCUCCAGCAGCCUCACUCCCAGCACUCGGAGAUGAGGCUCUAUACCUCGAACUCCUGGGUGCCGGGGAUGGGGCGACAGACCGUGGGGUCGCUGCAGGGGCAGGUGCCGCAGCUGGAGCCCGGCCACAGGAACAGCGCGAGGAGAAGAGGGCCGGCAGCAGUGGAAGAAGCGUGUGCCGUGACCCCACAACAGCCACCUGCUGAGCAAUCACGAGUGGGGCUAGUUUGUUCCCUGCCCUGACCCGGCUGGCCACUGGGAGCUGCGCCUGCGGGUGGGAGGUGGGGGCAUGCGCAGAGCCCCCUGGCCAUCCCUAGGCCUAGGAGCUGCACAUGCUGGCUGCUUCCCCGGAGCCGCAUGGUGCGGAGGCUGACUGGGAGCCUGCAAGCCCUGUCACCAGUCUACGGGCGGUUAGUGGUGUUGAUUGGAGUCUCCAGGAUCCCUUUUUGACAGACUGUUCUGGUCCAAAAUCAGACACCUGGUCACUCUAAUCGGCAAUCCAGCCCCCUGCCAAGGACAGGUGGAGAAUCCGGGGCUCUCUGCAGUGGCCUGGGCUCCCUGUGCAGGUGUUAUCACGGCCUGGCUUCGGGUCUGGCCAGGGGGCAGGACCUCAGAGGAAAGAGGCGGAGCAGGGGGUGUGGCCUUGGGGAGAGAAGGGACGGGGUUCCUGCAAGUGUCCAACUUUUGCUUUUAGAAAAGGUGGUCACUGAGAGAUAGGGACCGGCAGGAGAUUUACCCCAAAGAGCUGUCCACCCAGAAUCCCCCCCCCCACACACACCCUGCUUCCAAUUUCAUAUUUGUGUUUAAAGACAAUCUCCUUAUUUGGGGGUCUGACUCCUGGGCUGACAGCACUGAACAGGGGCUGGUCUGAUUUCUGCGUAGGAUUCUGUGUCCAACCAGAGUCACUGUGAGCCGCAAGGAGUGGAAUUGGGGUUUGGUUCGGGUUCAGUGACAGUCGGUAUGUUCGGUUCUGGUUAGGGUGGGGAGUGAGCCCUGUUGCUUGCUUCAGUGGGGAACUGAAUUUGGGGCAUGGGGCCUGCCUCAGGUGGGGCAAUUGAAGGGAGGAGCUGCCCUAAGGGGUGGGUGAGAAGAGACUUGUCUUAAGUGGAAGAAGAAUUGAGCAGCCUUUUUCCUUGUCCUUGAAGAGUUAAUGUUAACUUCUGGGACAGGGAGCGCCCACUUCUCUUCCCACCCUCCCUGCUCCUGUGGGCUGCCCCCUUCUCUUCUCCUACUGGGACAGGCCGUUCCGGUAGCGAUCACAUGCCUGGGGGUUGUUUUGGUGUCUUCUUUUAUAAUGAGUGAGAUCAGAGUAGGUUUUAUUUUAUUUUGACAAAUAUUGAGCUGGAAAAUUGCUGAAACUUCAUUUCAACUGGCAGCCAUUUUUUCCCAAGUUCAAUUCAGAUUCAGGUUCACUGAGGAAGAGGAAAAAUGAUGUUUUAAGUCUGGUUCCAGUUCAGUUAAGCAGAUCGGUUCGACCUGGUUCUCUGGUUCUGUUCUGGUGUGAGUCCAGGCUGAGGAAUCAUGUCCAACUGUCGCUCCAGAUCCUCCCGUCUUCCAGGGGACAGGGAAGGGAAAUGGCUGUGAUGGAGCCAGAUCAGAUGCCGGUGACCUUCGAGGAGGUGGCUGUGUAUUUCACCCAGG